UAAUAUUUUAAUUUGAAAUUUUUUAUUUUAAAUUUACUUUAUAAACUACAUAUAUAUAUAUAUAUAAUCACAUAUAUAUACAUAUAUCGUGAAAAAGAAAUGGUGUAUUAACGGUUUUUGACGUUAACUUGCAUUUUAUAAGUACAAAUACAAAAGCAUAUACAUAUGUGUGUGUGUGUUCUUUCUGUAUCGAUAAAAUAUAUUAUAUAUUUAAUAAUAAUAAUCGUAUAUGAAAUCAAGUUGUUUCUGGACUAUCAUAGAAUGACUAUUUUGUUAGUGACGCGAUCGCUCUUUUUUAUGAUUGAAUUCGGCUCGGUUGCCGAAGGUAACCGAAGGUGACUUCGGCUUCGCGUCAGCUAUCCACAUAGAAAAUGGAGUUUGAGCGGAGCGAGCGAAGCAGCUAUUUUCUACCGUCAAUGGGUGCAGAGGAAGAGUUCUGAGUCGAGUGUGCUUUCCUGUGUUCCUCUUGUGUAUUAUCGAUCAGUCAACAUUUUUAUGUUUGAUUCUGGAAGACAUUGCGUCUGGAAUUAACUGAUAACAAUUAAAAACUAAUAAAAGAACAAUGUCUGCCACUGCUCAAGAUGAUCGUUCCACGAAAGCCAAUCAGAUUAACAAGAAAGAUAAUGAAAAAUCUCGAAAAGUCUUCAGUUCUUCACAUAAAAAGCACAAGCACGAAGAUAGUCGUCAUUUUAAAUUUGGACGGAAGCGAUUACAAAGUUUUACCAAUAAUACUAAAUUUUUUCCACCGUACAAACGUAGAAAGAAGGAGGGUAUUAUCAUACCACCGACUAAAUUUCUGUUGGGUGGUAAUAUAUGUGAUCCGUUAAAUUUAAAUAGUAUGCAAGACGAAGAAGUGAAUAGAGCUAUGAAUGCAGUUACUCCAAAAUCCAGUCCUUUACCGACGCCUAAGCACAAAAAAGAAGCAAUUGAAGUUAUAAUUCCACCAAAUAUUUGUGAUCCUCUUAAUUUAAGCAAUUGUAACGAUAACGAGGAAUAUGAAAAACAACUUAUUUCCCCAACAAAAAAAGGCUCCAAACGACGUAACAAAAAGCGAAAACGUGCUUCUUCAGGCUCUGGGAAAGAUGACGCAAAGGAAGUCCAGGAAAUAGAGAUGAAAGAUAACGAUAUUAUAAAUUCUGUAGAGUCGAAUGGUAGUAGUGCCUCGGAAAGAGUUACAUCUUUGUCAGAAGACAUUGCUUCUGAUUCUCCACCAGAAAAUCAAGUUAAAGAAUGUAAAUUGGAAAGCCCAAAUAAGGAAAAAGUUAAAUUACGUUUAAAAAUAUUGGACGACCUUAAAGAUAAGCGAUUAAGGAAGCUGGAUGUGAAAGAUAAAAUAGUGAGUCCAGUUAUUCCUCAACCUGGUGCAUGGAAGCCUAGACCACAACAUCGUCCUAGCCAAGAUAAAAAGAAAAAACAACAACCGUUACCAAAUUUUAAAGAAAAGGAUGCCCGUUAUCAGUAUGGUAAUUACAAUAAAUAUUAUGGAUACCGUAAUCCACAUCAUGUUGUGGAUACAAGAUUGACCGUAUUUGCUCAACGUAAACACUUAUUUUUGGGAAAAGACAUUCUUGACAUAGGCUGCAAUAUUGGACAUAUUACUUUAUCAGUUGCGAGAGAUUUAAUGGCACGAAGCGUGACAGGUAUCGAUAUUGAUAGAAUGCUUAUUAAAAUUGCACGCAAGAAUGUUAAACAUUAUGUGAACUGCGUUCAGUCACCUGCAAGCAACGAGGACAAUGGAGAAGGGCAAAGAGAUUCAGAUACGAACUUUUUUCCUAUGUCUAUGCCAAUUAAUUACGGACCCAUUGACAUUCCUGGUUUCACUAAAAAUAAAAAUCAUAGAGGUUUUCCUUAUAACGUUACUUUUGUACAGGGAAAUUAUGUAUUAGAAGACGAUGCCCUCUUAUGCUUGGAACAACCUCAGUUUGAUACAAUCCUUUGUUUAUCCAUUACCAAAUGGAUACAUUUAAAUUAUGGAGAUGCUGGAUUAAAACGAGCUUUCAAACGUAUGUAUGCACAAUUAUGUCCGGGUGGUGUAUUAGUAUUGGAGCCACAAGGAUGGGGUAGUUAUGGUAGAAAAAAGAAUCUCACGGAACGAAUAUAUAAAAAUUAUCAGAGUAUUGAAUUCUUUCCUAACAAGUUUACACAGUAUUUACUUUCUCCCGAAGUAGGCUUUAGUAAAUGCGAAGUUGUAUCUAUUCCUCCACAUCCGUCGAAAGGAUUUCAAAGACCUAUUCAAUUAUUCACCAAAGUUGCCUCUAUUACAGAAAACACAGAGAAUUUGGAAAAUGUAAAUACUUCCAUAUCGAACGUGUCUAUCGAAAAUACUCAAGUACGACACGAAAGGAGGGAUGAACAACAGGAUUUAGAACGUAGACAAUACGAACGAGAUCUUUUUCCAAAAGAUAAUAAAGAAGGCAACAUGUCAGAGAUCAGUCAACAAAGUGGAGAAUCAAUAAAUCAGUAUGAUCAAUUAGAAAAUGUUUAUGCGCCUAGUGCUACACCAUGUUACGAUACACCUGGUCAUAAUAAUGACAAUAGUCAACCUAUGGAAAUGUCAAAGAUGUGUUAUGUCGAUGUAAAUAUCGAACAUCAUAAAGUCGAUGUAGAAAUGCAAGAUGUUAAUAGCAAACAAACAAAAGAAUCUACAUUGCAAGUAUUAUAUGCUAAUAAAUCUAACAGUGAACAUACCGUAAAAGAAAUGCAAAAAGUUGUAGAAUACUCGGAUAAUAAGGACGACGGAAUGAUUAAUAAUAAAAUUGGAGUAAAACGACUGGCCGAUGAUAAAAAAGUAAUUGACGAGGAUAUUAAGAAUUUGAAAAAGACAUCUGGAACAUUGAGAAUUAAUGAGAAUAAAAACAAGAUAUACAAAGAACAGGUUGAACCAUUACAGAAUAAAAAUGUUAUUAAAGACAAGUGUACUAUCGAGAAAAUUAAUUUUAGGAACUUAGAGAAAACUAAUGAAGUAUCCAGACUGUAUGUGCAGUCUUCCAAAAAGUCAUUCCAUAAUUUGGAUGGUGUUCAAGUUUCGAGCAAUACAUCGAAUAAUGAAGGAUCUUUAGAAACCCAAUUAUCGAGUAAAUCUGACUUCCAUCAAGAUAAAAGGAAUGUUACAACUAAAGAUGUCAAUGAUAAAUCGGCAAACGAAAAUCAGCAGGUACGGACAUGUCCGUAAACUUGUUUACAAGAUUGAGUAAAGAAACAAUUGUAUGAAUGUUAUUAGAACAAGAAGACAUAAAUCAUUAUUAAUUUUAGUUGAUUACGUUUAAUGUACAAAAUAAUGCCAAAGUAGCAGACACUGUAACUCGGAUAUACCAUCUUGGAGAUCAACUUGGAAAUAAUAAUUCAGUGCAGAAACAAUAACUAAGGAAAUUCAUUGAGAUUUGUAUUCUUCUACUUUGAAAGAGAUAAUAUGAAGAAUUGUUUGGAAUAUAAAUCAAGACGAAGAAACUAAUUUCAAUCUAGAAUCCUUGAAAUCAUGGAUUGGAUUGGAUUCUCUGCGGCUUUAAAAUGAUGAAACUUUUAGUGCGAUCAAACUUAUCGUUCCAUAAGUCUUAUUUAUUUAUUAUUUGUAGUACUAUUAAUGAAAAGUCCUUUGUGCAUUUCUUUAAUGAAUCGGUUUUACAAAGCUGUCAAAGGGGAAUUAAGCUUGUGUAGCAGUAUUUCCUCCAUCAUUUGUUAUAUAUAUAUAUAUAUAUAUUCAUAUAUAUAUAUAUAUAAUAUAUCUUGAUAUAAGAAUAUUAGAAAAUUGAUAAUAUAAUAUUAUUCGUUAUCACGAAUCAGUUUUAGAAUAGAAUUAAAAAAAAAGUAUGAAUGAAUGACAAAAGAAGGAAAAAAAUAAAUGAAAAGGAAAGAGAAUGAGGUGAUAGGUAUAUAAGUCAUUUGAAAUAUCUUGUACAGGUAGAGAUUUAUUUCUGCUUCUCAUCUAGUCUGUCUAAUUAACUCAAUACUCCGAGACAAUGAGUUGUAUAUGUACUAUAUACGAUGCUAAGAUUUUUCUUGCUAUAUUAUAUUCGUUAUAUUUCUUUUUUCUUCCUCUCUCUCUCUCUCUCUCUCUCUCUCUUUCUCUAUCUCUAUCUCUAUCUCUAUCUCUAUCUCUAUCUCUAUCUCUAUCUCUAUUUCUAUUUCUAUUUCUAUUUCUUGAUAAUUAUAAUAUUUUGUGUAGGAUACAUUUAAUGUAUUUUAUGAAAGAAGAAAGAAAAAAAGAAAAAAAAAAACAACAUAUUUCAAGGGAUAUUUUUCUUGGUAAAUAGUAACAUUCUCAUAUUAUGAGAGAAUAAUAUAACUCGCGAUGGAAAUAUUUAUCAUGAAAAUUCGAGUCCUUCAAUGGUAUUUGAUAUCAUUAUAGAGAAACAAGUUUACAUAUAAAUGUGAAAUGUAUAUAUAUAUGUAUAUAUAUAUAUAUAUAUAUAUAUAUAUAUAUAUAUAUAUAUAUAUAUAUAUAUAUAUAUCACAUAGAUUCGAAUGUACACAAAUACAAAACAUAAUGAGUUUAAUCAUUAUGCAUGUAUAGUGUUAUUAAAUAGAACGCGAUAAAGAAGUAGCACAAAUCGACUCCGCGAAUGCAUAUGCACUUUUACAUACAUACAUACAUGUUAAUUUUGAGUGCAGUAUAUAUAUAGUAUGGCGUAAUCUCUAAUGUUUGUUAAGAAACAUGCAAAAGAAAAAAAAAACGACAAAAGUACUGUAUAUGAAGAAAAAGAAAGACAAAGAAUAAAAACGUCGCUUUUAA